UCUCUUUAAUAGAAAUGGAGCGAAUAAUCAAGUGAAAAAAUAAAGUUUUUUAUUUUUUCACUUGAUUAUUCGCUCCAUUUCUAUUAAAGGGA